AUUGAACGCUGGCGGCAGGCCUAACACAUGCAAGUCGAGCGAGCGGCGGACGGGUGAGUAAUGUAUGGGGGCUGCCCGCGAGAGGGGGAGAACUCUUGGAAAAGGUAUGUAUAACCGCAUACUAUCGGAUAACACAUAGGGGAUUUGCGAGUAGGGGAGGUAAUGGCGCACCAAGGCGACGAUACCUAGCUGGUCUGAGAGGAGGAUCAGCCACACUGGGACUGAGACACGGCCCAGACUCCGCCGGAGGCAGCAGUGGGGAAUAUUGCACAAUGGGCGCAAGCCUGAUGCAGCCAUGCCGAGUGUAUGAAGAAGGCCCUAGGGUUGUAAAGUACUUUCAGUCGGGAGGCGUUACCGACAGAAGAAGCACCGGCUAACUACGUGCCAGCAGCCGCGGUAAUAC
rnacentral:rRNA from 1 species